AAAUUGAAGAGUUUGAUCAUGGCUCAGAUUGAACGCUGGCGGCAGGCCUAACACAUGCAAGUCGAACGGUAACAGGAAUCAGCUUGCUGUUUCGCUGACGAGUGGCGGACGGGUGAGUAAUGUCUGGGAAACUGCCUGAUGGAGGGGGAUAACUACUGGAAACGGUAGCUAAUACCGCAUAAUGUCGCAAGACCAAAGAGGGGGACCUUCGGGCC
rnacentral:rRNA from 1 species